rnacentral:rRNA from 1 species
UUCGGAGGUACUCGAGUGGCGAACGGGUGAGUAACACGUGGGUAAUCUGCCCUGCACUUCGGGAUAAGCCUGGGAAACUGGGUCUAAUACCGGAUAGGACCUUUUGGUGCAUGCCUUUUGGUGGAAAGCUUUUGCGGUGUGGGAUGGGCCCGCGGCCUAUCAGCUUGUUGGUGGGGUGCCGGCCUACCAAGGCGACGACGGGUAGCCGGCCUGAGAGGGUGUCCGGCCACACUGGGACUGAGAUACGGCCCAGACUCCUACGGGAGGCAGCAGUGGGGAAUAUUGCACAAUGGGCGCAAGCCUGAUGCAGCGACGCCGCGUGGGGGAUGACGGCCUUCGGGUUGUAAACCUCUUUCAGCAGGGACGAAGCGCAAGUGACGGUACCUGCAGAAGAAGCACCGGCCAACUACGUGCCAGCAGCCGCGGUAAUACGUAGGGUGCGAGCGUUGUCCGGAAUUACUGGGCGUAAAGAGCUCGUAGGUGGUUUGUCGCGUUGUUCGUGAAAACCGGGGGCUUAACCCUCGGCGUGCGGGCGAUACGGGCAGACUGGAGUACUGCAGGGGAGACUGGAAUUCCUGGUGUAGCGGUGGAAUGCGCAGAUAUCAGGAGGAACACCGGUGGCGAAGGCGGGUCUCUGGGCAGUAACUGACGCUGAGGAGCGAAAGCGUGGGGAGCGAACAGGAUUAGAUACCCUGGUAGUCCACGCCGUAAACGGUGGGUACUAGGUGUGGGUUUCCUUCCUUGGAAUCCGUGCCGUAGCUAACGCAUUAAGUACCCCGCCUGGGGAGUACGGCCGCAAGGCUAAAACUCAAAGGAAUUGACGGGGGCCCGCACAAGCGGCGGAGCAUGUGGAUUAAUUCGAUGCAACGCGAAGAACCUUACCUGGGUUUGACAUGCACAGGACGCCGGCAGAGAUGUCGGUUCCCUUGUGGCCUGUGUGCAGGUGGUGCAUGGCUGUCGUCAGCUCGUGUCGUGAGAUGUUGGGUUAAGUCCCGCAACGAGCGCAACCCUUGUCUCAUGUUGCCAGCGGGUAAUGCCGGGGACUCGUGAGAGACUGCCGGGGUCAACUCGGAGGAAGGUGGGGAUGACGUCAAGUCAUCAUGCCCCUUAUGUCCAGGGCUUCACACAUGCUACAAUGGCCGGUACAAAGGGCUGCGAUGCCGUAAGGUUAAGCGAAUCCUUUUAAAGCCGGUCUCAGUUCGGAUCGGGGUCUGCAACUCGACCCCGUGAAGUCGGAGUCGCUAGUAAUCGCAGAUCAGCAACGCUGCGGUGAAUACGUUCCCGGGCCUUGUACACACCGCCCGUCACGUCAUGAAAGUCGGUAACACCCGAAGCCAGUGGCCUAACCUUUNGAGGGAGC